rnacentral:rRNA from 1 species
GAAUAUUGGACAAUGGGCGAAAGCCUGAUCCAGCAAUGCCGCGUGAGUGAUGAAGGCCUUAGGGUUGUAAAGCUCUUUUACUGGGGAUGAUAAUGACAGUACCCAGAGAAUAAGCUCCGGCUAACUCCGUGCCAGCAGCCGCGGUAAUACGGAGGAAGCUAGCGUUGUUCGGAAUUACUGGGCGUAAAGCGCACGUAGGCGGCUUUUUAAGUCAGGGGUGAAAUCCCGGGGCUCAACCCCGGAACUGCCCUUGAAACUGGGAAGCUAGAAUCUUGGAGAGGCGAGUGGAAUUCCGAGUGUAGAGGUGAAAUUCGUAGAUAUUCGGAAGAACACCAGUGGCGAAGGCGACUCGCUGGACAAGUAUUGACGCUGAGGUGCGAAAGCGUGGGGAGCAAACAGGA